GCUGCAAGUGCUCACCAAUACCAUUGUUGAUCCGAUCAUAUCUAAUUUCUUCUACUAAACUGAAAUUAGCCAAGUUGAUAAAAAGCCUCUUUAGGUCCUCUUAAUUUCGACCCUGCUAAGACAUUAUUUCUCCUCUUUUUCUUUCUUAGCCGUUUUAACCCAGUUGUACGUACCCAAAGAAUUUGGUGGAUCUUGCUGGAAGAUUGAAGGAAGCUAGGCAGCCACAUUAACCAAAGUUUAUUGACUCUUACACACCAGUCAUCGGGAAGCAAAGAUACUCGAAAGACAAAAAAUGGAAGCUUCUAGUAGUCUGGACACGAGGCCUUAUGUGGUGGCAAGGUUGAAUGGCUGGUAAGACCAACCGGAGGAUUAAUUCAGGAGGGAUUUUCACAUGAGCAAGAAAACCAUCGAAAACCUUCUAAAUGAUCUGUGUUUCUCUCGAACCUACUCUAACAAAGAAAAGGAACACAAGGAUAAAUGUCACGGUUCAACAUCAGGUUGUGGUCACCAUAUGGUGACUUGCAACCGCCAGCAAAUACCAUAAAAUAUUAGAGAGUUUGAGAUAGUCGUCAGCAGCUGCAGAUCCGCAAUACAUGGUGUCAUAUCCGCCAUGAUCAAAAUCUCGGUGCCGAAUUGGUUAUGUUCGCCCGACCAGUUUAUGAUGCACAUAACCAAAGAGAGGUUCCUGAGAGAGUCGGGAUUUCAAAACGUGGUUGCCAUAAUGUACACCACCCACAUGUCCAUCUUUCCACCCACUGGCACAUGACAUCUUUUCUACAACCGGGGCCACAUUGAGAUGGAGAGAUACCCAAGAGAUAGAAAAUGGAAGCUUCUAGUGGUCACGACAGUUACACGAGGUCUUAUGUGGUGGCAAGGUCAAACGAGUGGUGACAGUAGUCGGUGGAUUAGUUUCGAAGGGAGUUUCGCAUGAGCAAGCAGACCUUCAAAAUGAUUUGCAUUAAUCUCGAAACUACCUUAGCAAAGAAGAUGAUCACAAGGAUAAAUAUCACUGAUAAGUAGUAAGUUGCGGUCACCAUAUGGCGGCUCGCAACUGCAGCCACAUUCCGCCAAAUAUCACAGUAGUUUGGGAUAACCGUCAUCAACUGCAGAUCAACGAUACAAGAUGUUAUCUCUGCCAUCAUCAAAGUCCUGGCGCCGAAUUGGGUCUUUUGGCUCGACCGGUGCAUGAUGAACAUAACCAAAGAGAGGUUCCUGAGGGAGUCGGGAAUUCCAAAUGUGGGUGCAGUAAUGUACACCACGCACGUGCCCAUGUUUCCACCCAGCAUUAGAGCGAAUAUGUUCUACAACCAAAAGCACACCGAGAGGGUGUGGGAAGCCACGGGGAGGAGUCGUGUAUACAAAUUCCCAACCACUAUUUAGGUAGUGGUUGAUCAUAGAGGGCUUUUCACCGAGUUGUGCGUCGGGUUUCCUAUUCGUUGCACCCAUGAUCAUAUUCUGGAGCAGAGUGGUUUGUAUGGGUGGAACUUAAGGGAUGUUUGGAUCGUUGGGACUUCCGGACAUCCCCUCUUAGAUUGGGUUCUGACUCCAUACACACAUGGAAACUAGACUCCACAACAGCAGAAUUUCAAUGAAAAACUUUGCAUUAUUCAAGAUAUUGCCAAGAAUGCAUUUCAAAAGUUGAAGAGGAGGUGGGGUGUGUUUCAGAAGGAAUCAAGGCUUGAGGUCAAGAAUUUGGAUGAGGAAUUCAGAGCCUGUUGUGUUCUCCACAUAUUUGCGAGGUGAGGCACGAGCCGAUGUAUCUGGAGUGGAACUACAAGCAACCCUUCAAAAUGAUCUGCAUUAAUCUCGAAACUACCUUAGCAAAGAAGAUGAGAACUAGGAUAAAUAUCACAGUUGAGAAGCAGGUUGCAGUCACCAUAUGGAGACUCGCAACCGCUGCCACAUGCCGUCAAAUAUCAGAUAGGUUUGGGCUUGUUGUCAGCAGUUGCAGAUCGGCAAUACAGGAUGUCAUUGUUGAAAGAUUUUUUACCACUCUACGUUGAAUCUCUCAAGACUCAAUUGUAGUAUAGUAAAGGGUUUUGUCGUAUCCACAGGGAGGUGUAAUACUUAUGCCGUUCAAUAGCUAACAGACUUAAAUGAUGGUUUACAAAUAUAUUGGGUGUUUGUUUAAAAACAUAAAAACAUAAAUAAAGAAGAUAAAAGAGUUGGAUUCACCAAGGUAGAUAGUUUUGCUGAGAUUAGAGUUUCGUUGUCUGACCUCUAUGUAUUCUAUUGAUUCACAUACAAAUAUAGUUCUAUGAAA